rnacentral:piRNA from 1 species
GCACACCAUUUGCUUACCCAGACCCAC